rnacentral:rRNA from 1 species
AGAGUUUGAUCCUGGCUCAGAUUGAACGCUGGCGGCAGGCCUAACACAUGCAAGUCGAACGGUAACAGGAAGCAGCUUGCUGCUUCGCUGACGAGUGGCGGACGGGUGAGUAAUGUCUGGGAAACUGCCUGAUGGAGGGGGAUAACUACUGGAAACGGUAGCUAAUACCGCAUAACGUCGCAAGACCAAAGAGGGGGACCUUCGGGCCUCUUGCCAUCGGAUGUGCCCAGAUGGGAUUAGCUUGUUGGUGGGGUAACGGCUCACCAAGGCGACAAUCCCUAGCUGGUCUGAGAGGAUGACCAGCCACACUGGAACUGAGACACGGUCCAGACUCCUACGGGAGGCAGCAGUGGGGAAUAUUGCACAAUGGGCGCAAGCCUGAUGCAGCCAUGCCGCGUGUAUGAAGAAGGCCUUCGGGUUGUAAAGUACUUUCAGCGGGGAGGAAGGGAGUAAAGUUAAUACCUUUGCUCAUUGACGUUACCCGCAGAAGAAGCACCGGCUAACUCCGUGCCAGCAGCCGCGGUAAUACGGAGGGUGCAAGCGUUAAUCGGAAUUACUGGGCGUAAAGCGCACGCAGGCGGUUUGUUAAGUCAGAUGUGAAAUCCCCGGGCUCAACCUGGGAACUGCAUCUGAUACUGGCAAGCUUGAGUCUCGUAGAGGGGGGUAGAAUUCCAGGUGUAGCGGUGAAAUGCGUAGAGAUCUGGAGGAAUACCGGUGGCGAAGGCGGCCCCCUGGACGAAGACUGACGCUCAGGUGCGAAAGCGUGGGGAGCAAACAGAAUUAGAUACCCUGGUAGUCCACGCCGUAAA